ensembl:lncRNA
GUCUCGCUCGUGUCUGACUCUUGGCGAUCUCCAUGGACUGUAGCCCACCAGGUUCCUGUCCGUGGGAUUCUCCAGGCAAGAAUACUGGAGUGGAUUGCCAUUUCCUUCUCCAGGGGAUCUUCCCAACACAGGAAUCAAACGCACAUCUCCUGGCUUGCAGGCAGAUUCUUUCCUGUCUGAGCCAUCUGAAGCUUAAAUAUUUAAGAUGUAACAUGAAGCAGUCUUGGAAACCACAGAGCAGCCUUCAGUUUGCGGGUAUUAGGUCCAAAUUAAGGGCAUUUUACUGGGGAGCUUUUCCUAGGGGACUGAUCGAGUCAGUCACCCUAAUGGUCUAUUAGAAACCAGGAUUUCUGAACAGGUUUUCUGAACAGGAUUUCUGAACAUCCUUGAAGAUGGGAGAUUUUGCAGGCGAUUCUAGAUGGACUUGGUCUAGUGCCUACCUCCUGUCAGGUGCUGUGUGAAGCCAGUCAGCCAAUCCCUGGGGUCAGAUGGCCCAAAAUCAGAGGCUGUCAGGCCAGGGACCAACACCCUUCACCGACAUCUUUACAUCUGGGAGACCCAGUACUGAACUCAUCAUGACCUCGCUUCACUCUUGCAGCAGUUACUCACCAAGUGGAUGUUACAGCUUCUUCCACGUACGGGGUGGAAGUUGAUCCCCCAAAGCAGGAGGCUUUAGGGAUUGAAACAGCAGAGGCCUGCAUGUGCACCCCCAGACAGCUCUAAGACGCGUCCUUAACCCUCACGCCUACUGCUGCAGAGCAGAACAGUCUAGUCAGGGGGCGCACUGUGGGUGCACGUCAUAUCCCCUUAUGGAACCUCCUGCUGAACGGUUCUAGAGUGCUUGUUACUCCUGGCGAGGUCACUUUCAGUCUGGGAGAAACGCGGAGAAAGGCUUAUUGUGGCCACAAGCCUUCUAGUCCCGUCAGGAUGUCCUAUGACCUGACGUGUGGUGGCUGAGUAUGCAUCAGGUUGUCUCUUGAAAUGUUAUCUUCUGGCAAUUUCAGGGUGACUGUUAACCCUCAGAGAAGCAGGAAAGUUUGCUGUGUGCUUGGCUCCCCCAACCUGGCUGGGAAGGCCUUAACUGGCAGAACCAAUCGGAUGGUCAAGAAUCUGCCCGCAAUGCCGGAGACCUGGGUUCAAUCCCUGGGUGGGGGAGAUGCCCUGGAGGAGGAAAUGGCAACCCACUCCAGGAUUCUUGCCUGGAGAACUGCAUGGACUGAGGAGCCUGGUGGGUUACAGUCCAUGGGGUCACAAACAGUCGGACAUGACUUAGCGACUCACACACACACAACGGGCAGAAGCUCGACCCAAGAGCAGUGACUUCUAACCAUCAGUGUACUGGAACUGGUGUGCCCAAGAGGGGAAAAGUCCUGACUCUGUCCUGGGCUGACAUUCCCAGGCAUCCUUGGUUCAGAGGACACUCCAAGGGCUGUGGCGCCCGGCGAGCUGAGAAACCUGCCGCCUGCUGAGUGCACGGCUCUCACCUGGACCUCUGCCCCAGUGAUAGCAGUCACUGCUUUUAAUUAGAUUCUCUCGAUUCCAGAAGAGACA